rnacentral:tRNA from 1 species
UCGGCUUUAGCUCAGUUGGUAGAGCGGAGGACUGUAGUUGGAGUACUAAUCUGUGCUAAAAUCCUUAGGUUGCUAGUUCAAAUUUGCCAGGUCGGA